rnacentral:rRNA from 1 species
UAAGGAAUAUUGGGCAAUGGACGCAAGUCUGACCCAGCCAUGCCGCGUGAAGGAUGAAGGUCCUCUGGAUUGUAAACUUCUUUUAUCUGGGGCGAAAACAACUCUUUCUAGAGUUCUUGACAGUACCAGAGGAAUAAGCACCGGCUAACUCCGUGCCAGCAGCCGCGGUAAUACGGAGGGUGCAAGCGUUAUCCGGAUUCACUGGGUUUAAAGGGUGCGUAGGCGGGCUAGUAAGUCAGUGGUGACAUC